rnacentral:tRNA from 1 species
UUUAAAUAGUUUAUAAAAAUGUUGGCUUGUGGGACCAAAGAUAUCUUAAUGAUUUUAAAUU